UGGGGAAUAUUGGACAAUGGGCGCAAGCCUGAUCCAGCAACGCCGCGUGGAGGACGAAGGUCUUCGGAUCGUAAACUCCUGUCAGACGGGACGAACGAAUGUCGGUAAAUAAUCGACGUUCUUGACGGUACCGUCAGAGGAAGCCCCGGCUAACUCCGUGCCAGCAGCCGCGGUAAUACGGAGGGGGCGAGCGUUAUUCGGAAUUAUUGGGCGUAAAGGGCGCGUAGGCGGCCCUGUAAGCCAAAGGUGAAAUCCCUCGGCUCAACUGAGGAACUGCCUUUGGAACUGCAUGGCUUGAGGCCGGAGGGGGUAGCGGAAUUCCCAGUGUAGCGGUGAAAUGCGUAGAUACUGGGAGGAACACCGGUGGCGAAGGCGGCUACCUGGACCGGUUCUGACGCUGAUGCGCGAAAGCGUGGGGAGCAAACAGGAUUAGAUACCCAAGUAGUCCCUGAGCGGGCUGGCAAGGCGCAU
rnacentral:rRNA from 1 species